GCGGCAACCGUAGCUCCGCCACUACACGGCGGCUGAAGAUGUAUAAUUCUAGGCCGAAGCGUGACCGGAAGGGCAAAAUAUUGAAGCACGAGUAUCAAUCAAAGCAGCUUCCGUCAACGAGGAUACAGCCAGAUCCCCGAUGGUUCAUCAAUACUCGGGUGAUUAGUCAGGAGAAAUUGGAAUCAUUUAGAGAAGAGAUUCAAGAUCGGCUUUCUAGCAACUACAAUAUCAUCAUGAAUGGAAGUAAUUUGCCCAUGUCCCUUGUGAAUGAACACAAGAAGAAAGGAAAAGCUCAUCAACUUGGCAGUAAGCCUUCUGCUGGAACAGAGAAAAAACACG
rnacentral:misc_RNA from 1 species